UGGGGAAUCUUAGACAAUGGGGGAAACCCUGAUCUAGCCAUGCCGCGUGAGCGAUGAAGGCCUUAGGGUUGUAAAGCUCUUUCAGCUGGGAAGAUAAUGACGGUACCAGCAGAAGAAGCCCCGGCUAACUCCGUGCCAGCAGCCGCGGUAAUACGGAGGGGGCUAGCGUUGUUCGGAAUUACUGGGCGUAAAGCGCACGUAGGCGGAUUAGUCAGUCAGAGGUGAAAUCCCAGGGCUCAACCCUGGAACUGCCUUUGAUACUGCUAGUCUUGAGGUCGAGAGAGGUGAGUGGAAUUCCGAGUGUAGAGGUGAAAUUCGUAGAUAUUCGGAGGAACACCAGUGGCGAAGGCGGCUCACUGGCUCGAUACUGACGCUGAGGUGCGAAAGCGUGGGGAGCAAACAGGAUUAGAUACCCAGGUAGUCCACGCCGUAAACGAUGAAUGCCAGUCGUCGGGUUGCAUGCAAUUCGGUGACACACCUAACGGAUUAAGCAUUCCGCCUGGGGAGUACGGUCGCAAGAUUAAAACUCAAAUGAAUUGACGGGGUCAUAGCUGUUUCCUG
rnacentral:rRNA from 1 species